GUGCUCGCUUUGGCAGCACAUACACUAAAAUUGGAAUGAUACAGAGAAGAUUAGCAUGGCCCCUGUGCAAGGAUGACAUGCAAAUUCAUGAAGCAUUCCAUAAACAA
rnacentral:snRNA from 1 species